UGCAUGCCUACACAUGCAGUCGAGCGCUGGAGAACGUCACGCUUGAUCCUCGUGUGCGGAGGUGACGGCUAGUGGAAGGAGCGGCGGAGGGGUGAGUAACACGUGGGCUACCUGCCUGUAGGACUGGGAUAACCCCGGGAAACCGGGGCUAAUACCGGAAAAUACUUUUCAUCAACUGAUGGGAAGUUGAAAGGUGGCUUUUAGCUACCACUUACCUAUGGGCCCGCGGCGCAGUAUCUAGUUGGUGAGGUAACGGCUCAGCAAGGCAACGAUACGUAGCCCACCUGAAAGGGUGAUCGGCCACACUGGGACUGAGACGCGGCCCAGACUCCUACUGGAGGCAGCAGUAGGGAAUCUUCCGCAAUGGACGAAAGUCUGACGGAGCAACUCCGCGUGAGUGAUGAAGGUUUUCGGAUCGUAAAGCUCUUUUGUUAGGGAAGAACAAGUGCCGUUCGAAUAGGGCGGCACCUUGACGGUACCUAACCAGAGGCCCCGGCUAACUACGGUGCCAUCGGCCGCGGUAAUACGUAAGGCGCAAGCGUUGUCCGGAAUUAUAGGGCGUAAAGCGCGCGCAGGCUGUCCUUUGAGUCUGAUGUGAAAGCCCACGGCUCAGCGUGGAGGGUCAUUGGAAACUGGAGGACUUGAGUACAGAAUAGGAGAGUGGAAUUCCACGUGUAGCGGUGAAAUGCGUAGAGAUGUGGAGGAACACCAGUGGCGAAGCGACUCUAUAGUCUGUAACUGACGCUGAGGCGCGGAAGCGUGCGGAGCGAACUGAUUAGAUACCCUGGUCGUCCACGCCGUAACGAUGAGUGCUAGUGUUAGGGGGGUUUCCGCCCCUUAGUGCUCAAGUUAAGCAUUAAGCACUCCGACCGGGGAGUACAGCCGCAGCGCUGAAACUCAAAAAAUUUGACGGGGGCCCGCAAAACGCUACUGGAGCAUGUACGUUUCACUUCGACGCACUGCGAAGCAGCGUUACCAGUCUUGACAUGCUG
rnacentral:rRNA from 1 species